rnacentral:rRNA from 1 species
CCUGGUGGCUAUGGCGAGGGGCCUGCACCCGAUCCCAUCCCGAACUCGGAAGUGAAAACCCUCAGCGCCAAUGGUACUGCAUCU